rnacentral:tRNA from 1 species
UCCCCGGUGGUCCAGUGGUGAAGACUCUGUGCUUCUACCGCAGGGGGCGUGGGUUCGAUCCCUGGUCAGGGAA